UUUUAUGAUAAAGUUUGGAACAAUAGCUUCAAGUAAUUAAAUGCAAGAGUGAAAAUGAGUAACCAGUGUCUGCAGGAACCAACUCCUGAUGAUUCUAAUUUUUUUUCCUAUUAUUUUAUCCUAAUUUCUCCAAACAAUAAUUUCUCAACAUCAUUCAGAAAAAAAAAAACAGCAGUGUAUUAAUAAUUUAAUGAGGCAGUGCCUCCCUAAUAGCAACAUUAUGUCUCUUCAUCUCCUUGUCAGUCCCCAAUACUCUAACUGUUGAAGGAGAUCUGAGCCUGAGACAGCACAGGCAGGAUGACUGCUUUGUACCUUUUGCCAAAUGGGGAGGCUUUAGGACAUGUUUGUUCUCUUUAUGUACCUAUAAACAGCGUUUCAGUCAGAAGAUCAACCCUAAAUCCCCCAUAUACUCAGCUGAGAGAGUAAUUUGAGCUAGUGCAAUUUGGGUUAAACCUAACAGUUAGACUUUCCCUACAGCUUGCCCUCUGGAGACAUUUAGCUCUUCCCACCGACCGAGAGCCCUGCAGAAGGGAGCCAAUUGCUGGAGGUGCUUGAGACAAGCAGUCAGGUCUGCCCCAUCUAUGUAUUUUCUUGUUUACAGUGAAGCUGAGAUUCUACACUACCCAUGUCAGCUGUGUACAGCAGAACAGCAGCAGUGUGAAAGGAGAAAAAGUGGACUAUUCCUGCUUUACAAGAUGGUUUUACAUUUUUGUGUUAAAAGAGUGGAAGAUAUUGCUUCUUGUUUCUUCAAGAUUUUG
rnacentral:lncRNA from 1 species